UCAAGCACAUUCACGGGACGUUACCCUUUG
rnacentral:sRNA from 1 species